UCAAGCUACAAAGAGCACAAGGGGAAUGCCUUGGCACCGAGAGCCGAAGAAGGACGUGACUAACUGCGAUAAGCUGCGGGGAGCCGUAAGUGGGCUUUGAUCCGCAGAUUUCCGAAUGGAGCAAUCCGGCAAGAGGAAAGUCUUGUCAUCAUAUACUGAAUACAUAGGUAUAUGAGGGGAACCGCCUGAACUGAAACAUCUAAGUAGGGCGAGGAAGAGAAAUCAACUGAGAUUUCGUAAGUAGUGGCGAGCGAACGCGGAAGAGGCCAAACCGAGAGUAGUAAUACUUUCGGGGUUCGGACAGAAUACGGUAUUGUAAAGGUUUAGUGGAAUGGAAUGGGAAGUCCAACCGAAGAAGGUGAGAGUCCUGUACACGAAAAACCUGAACAGCCAUCUGUAUCCAGAGUACCGCCGGACACGUGAAACCCGGUGGGAAUACGGGGGGACCAUCCUCCAAGCCUAAAUACUACUCGGUGACCGAUAGUGAAGAAGUACUGUGAAGGAAAGGUGAAAAGUACCCCUGACGGGGAGUGAAAAAGAACCUGAAACCUUGUGUUUACAAGCACCGAAAGCUCAUCAAAGAGCGAUCGGGUACCUUUUGUAGAAUGGUCCGGCGAGUGAAUGUAACCGGCGAGGUUAAGCACCUAAGGUGUGAAGCCGCAGCGAGAGCAAGUCUGAAAAGGGCGUAUGAAGUCGGUUGUAUUCGACCCGAAACCGGGUGACCUACCCAUGGUCAGGUUGAAGUAAAGGUAAAACUUUAUGGAGGACCGAACCGACUCCCGUUGAAAUGGUAGCGGAUGAACUGUGGGUAGCGGAGAAAUUCCAAUCGAACCCGGAGAUAGCUGGUUCUCCCCGAAAUAGUUUUAGGACUAGCCUCAAGUUAGAUACCUGGAGGUAAAGCACUGAAUAGCCUAGCGGCCGAGAGGUUAGCGAAGCUUAUCAAACUCAGAAUGCCAGAGUAUUGAUGCUUGGGAGUCAGACAGUGUCAGAUAAAUGUCAUUGUCAAAAGGGAAACAGCCCAGAUCUACAGCUAAGGUCCCAAAGUCAGGUUAAGUGGAAAACGAUGUGGAGAUACGCAGACAACCAGGAUGUUGGCUCAGAAGCAGCCACUCAUUCAAAGAGUGCGUAAUAGCUCACUGGUCGAGCGUCUCUGCGCGGAGAAUUUAACGGGGCUAAACCUGACACCGAAGCUUAGGCAAUGUAGUAAUACAUUGGGUAGGGGAGCGUUGUAUACGCGGUGAAACAGUAGCGCAAGCGGCUGUGGAGUGUAUAGAAGUGAGAAUGCCGGAAUGAGUAGCGCGAAUGCAGUGAGAAUCUGCAUGGCCGAAAGCCUCAGGUUUCUGGAGGAAGGUUCGUCCGCUCCAGGUUAGUCGGGAGCUAAGGUGAGGCCUAACGGCGUAGCCGAUGCACAGACGGUAGAGAUUCCGUCACCACCAAAAGAGUUAAACACAGGGACACAUUUGAAGUCUCGGAGCCGGGUGUUGGUUCCGGUAGCGAUCGAGGGAAGUUAGUACCGAAGUCCGGGAUGGAAGAUGGCGAGAAAAGCUGUGUGUAUUUCUGCGGUGCCCGUACCGCAAACCGACACAGGUAGGUAGGAAGAAGAUUCUAAGGCCAACGGGAGAAGGGUUGUUAAGGAACUCGGCAAGUUGACCCCGUAACUUCGGAAUAAGGGGUGCUCAUGAAAGUGAGCCGCAGAGAAUAGGCCCAGGCAACUGUUUACCAAAAACACAGGUUUGUGCUAAAUCGAAAGAUGACGUAUACGAGCUGACGCCUGCCCGGUGCUGGAAGGUUAAAAGGAGAUGUGCAAGCAUUGAAUUGAAGCCCCAGUGAACGGCGGCCGUAACUAUAACGGUCCUAAGGUAGCGAAAUUCCUUGUCAGGUAAG
rnacentral:rRNA from 1 species